CCUACAACCUAUAUAGGUUGUAAGAGAUAUGUACCUAAUUAAAUAUUUUGUACUUUAGUUGUGGUUUGUAGCAUUUACUACGCGAGUUCCUUUAUACAACAGGGUACAAAUAUGGAAGUGUCUCAAGAUAUUCCCACAACUUCUAAAUAUUCAGCGGGCUAGCUUAAAAUGACAACUACCGAGUUGACUACUUACGCAUUAGUUUCUUUUAUUGUGGUGUUAUGGCGUUAUUUGAAAUGGAAAUGCAGACACUUCGAAAAAAUAGCAUCGAAACUGAAGGGACCGUCAUCAUAUCCAAUUAUUGGCACAGGACUAAAGGAGUUCUCAGGUAGAAUUAAACUGUUCAACAGCUAUGGAUGCAAGCCGUGUAAAGUGUGAUUGGAUCCAAAUUUUGGCGUAACCAUAAUGAAGCUAGAAAACUUACAAAUAAUUAUUUUAAUAAAAAAACCAUAAAGAUUUAUUUAAAUGAAUUACAGAGAUAAACUUGUUUGAUGAAAACAUAAGUGGAAUGAUGGUGUGAGAAUAAUAUUAAACAGUUCCAAGACCUUGAUAAAUCCAAGUUUUACAAAUUUUUUUAAGAAUACUUUCGGUGAAGGCUUGAUUUCAGCACCAGUUCAUAAAUGGCGAUAACAUCGUCUUGCUCUCGACUUUAACGCCAAUCUUCUUGAUCAAUUUUUUACUAUAUUUAACGAAAAAAACCGAAUUCUUAUUGAAAAUUUAAAGAAGGAAUUAGAUAAAACAAAACUAUUUGAUCUUUUGGACUAUAUAAUGCAUAUUAAUCUUGAAAUAAAUUUUGUCGUAAGUAUUUAAAUAUUUAAAAUAUGUAGUUUUAUUGGUAUUUACAUUUUAUUCACUACAUAUUAUAUCAAUUCAUGUAAAAUUUUAUAGUUUCUAGAAACCACAAUAGGUUACAAUCUUGACACUCGAUUAAAUAAAAAGUCUGAAUUUGCUGAAGCAUGAAUAAAGUAGUACAAUGAAACGAAUAAAUACAAAGAAUAUAUUUUAACAUAAAUUUAUUUUUAGAUCAUAGGAAUUAGAUACCUUGAGAAAUAUCAAACCAUGGUUAUGUUCCGAUAUAAUAUUUUCGAUUUACAGGAAACUUAUGAGGCUACAAAAUAUCUACUAUCUCAAUUAUGUGAUAUUAAAUUAUAAACAGAUUUAUAACUGAGAAGUUCUGAUGGUUUUCCUGUGACUAUUCGACAGAUAGAUAGAAAACCUACGUAUAAAAAAAUAAGAAUAUUGGAAGGAAAAUUUGCGAUUGAUAAUAUUAAUUUAUAUUAUCAAAAAAAAAAAUAACAAGAUUAAGCUAAUGAGUAGUUUGUAAAUGGUUUUAUAAAAAAAAGUGUGUAAAUUUAAUUUUUCAGUACCGUAUCGUACUGUCAUUGGUUAUAAAUACAAUUGUACAGUAUAGUGUAUAAUAUCUUUUAUAGACUUUGUUUGUAAUCAUUAACUGCGUUUUUCUAUCAAUUGUCUCGUUACUCUUAAAAAAUGCGUCGCGUUACCGCAUUAUCGCGUCCCCACUUGACGUUCCGUGAUCUUAUACCAUGAUUUAAUAAUGUUAAUACCACUUGAACUUAAUUGGUACAUGAUUCUAAAAUAUUGGUUUAUUUUAAGAAUCUAUAUAACAUAAAAUAAAAUAUACUUUAUCAUUAUGAAGAUUAUUGAAAUUUUAACAAUAAUUAAUACACGUCAUAAAAAAAUGUAAUUGUAACUCUCCAUUAGGAAUAGUAUAAAAGUCAGCCUUUUUGUGAGUGGCUUCGUACUUUAAAUUCUUAUUUAUUUUAUGCCACAAACUAAGAUAUAAUCUUAGUCCGUGUUUUAUGCUAACAAUUAACUACGAUUAAACGGCGUUAGCAAUAGGCAAUUUAACAUCAUUCAUUGUUAUGAAUUCAUUUUUGCUAUAAUAUUAUCUAAGGCGUACAUUAAUUUUAAAUCAGAUUAAAUAAAUUGUAAAAAAUACAACAAUUAUCACUAUUAGGCAUACUGUAUUACUAUUUAAAAAAAAAAUUAAGUUAGAUUUUUAUUUGAACCUUAUAUAGAGAUUACUUAAAACAAGAAUAUUAUUAUUAUAAAAUCGUAUACUUAUUUCAUAUGUCUUAAGAACUACAGCUAUCAAUAAAUUAAGAUGAAAAAUACAGAGCAGUUAUAGUAGUCAUUUUUAAAUUUAGAUAAUUUACAUAUUUUUUUUUUUUAUACUUAAAAAUAUUUUUUUUUAUUUUUAAUAAAAUACGAAAUCAAGUUUUAUUGUAACAUAAACCGAUAAACUUAAUGAACAAAAUAGAGAAAUGUUUCUCUAAGAGGAUGUCACUAUGUCAGUGCACUAUUUGUUUUCUUUCUCUGGCCUACCCACAACAUACACAUAAUGCAUUUACGCUGAAUCAUUUUUUUUAUGAUUUUAAGUUAUCUUAGAAUGAGAACAUCCAUUAAAAAAAAAAGAUAGAGAUAAAUACUUUUGAGGGAAUGAUACCUAUAUCUAUUUGUCUAAAUAUGGUCUCAAAAAAAUUUAAUCCAUUAAAAUGUAUAACAAUAUUUUGUUUAUUUUGAAAGUAAAAGAACAAUAAAAUAUGAAAUUGAAAUGUUAUUCCUUAAAAAACAGUAAUAUCUAUCUCUUUUUUAAUGUGUGAUUUUACUCUAAGAUUACUAAAAAAGUAUAAAACAAAUGAUUCAACUUAAAUGCUUUCUGUCUGUUACUUAUGGGCCGAAAAGAAAAAAAAAGUGCGUUGAUAUCCUCUUAAAAUAAAUUUGAAUAAAAUUAUGAAAAUAUUUGAAUAGAAAAAUAUUCAUACUCACUCCUUAUCUUACUGUAUAAAAAAUGUAUGUUACUUUUGUUUUAUGUCCAUUUUUUUGGGCGUAGUCUUAUGACUUUUAUAAGAAAAAAAUUUUAAUUUGGAAAGUGAAAUAGUAAAUAAUAUUUAAAAUAAAAACAUAAAAAUAAUGUCGAAUUUUGUUUGCCACGUCUUUCUUAUUAUACGUUGAAUUAAAUAUGUAAUUAACACCAAUAAUGGGUAAAAUAUCUACUGUAUGAAUUUCCAUCUCAUUUAAAAUAAUGAAAUAAUAUGACAUCACAGAGACAUUUUAAAUUUAAAUUGCACAUAUCUGGUUUUGCAUAUCUGAUAAUAUUGUAUAAUACGAUUAAUGAAAUAUUAAAAUGAUAUGAUGGUGUGUUUAUUAUGAUAUAUAACUGUAAUAAAACAUGUACUAUUUUAGAGGUUAACAACAUAAAAGUUGUUCGCGAGUCAUUGGAUAAUCAAUAAAUAAAUCAAUUAUUAUCAUAUCUUAUAUAAUUAAUAUAUUGUUGCUAUAGAAAAAAUAUAUCCGAUCGGUAAAGUAGAUGGUAUGAAAAUCGAGCUACAACAUAUUCAAAAAAAAAAAAACACAUUAAUACAAUAUUAAUUGAGAAACCAAACAACAAAAUUUAAAUAUUGCUUAGAAUAAAACAUUGUGAAUAGUUUAAUGAAAAUUUAAAAAUGUAAAACUUUAUGCAUGUAUGGUUCUUAAUAAUUAUAGUUAUUCAAUUAAAAAAAAAAAAAUCUAUGGAAGUCGAUCUUCAAAGGUGAAAUAUAUUUUUAUUUUUUAGUAGUUCGUGACCAAAAAAUGUUUGACCACCCUCGAUGUACAGAAAUAACAUACAUUUAUAAAAUUAAACAGAUCAAAAAGAUAAACUUUAUUUUAAUUACAGUAAAAAGUAUAAACUACAUAAUUUAAAUUGAUUUUAAAUACCCUUUUUUUAAAUUACCUAAUACCUUUUAUUUUAUUAAAAAUAUGAAAGACGUUUUCCCAAUAAAUCUCUUCUAAUAUAUUAUUUGCAAUAUAUAAAACAAAUAGUCCUGACAAUUAUUCAUUUAUCAAUGAAGAUCUUAAAUAUUUUUUCACCUUCUUUAAAAAUAAUAAGAACGUUGUUUUGACGUAUUUGAAUAUGGAAAUAAACAAAAAUAUCUCAACAUUUGGAAGUGUCUUAUAAUUCGUGUGUCAAUCGAAGAUAUAAAAAUAUUAAAUUAAUUAAUAUCUUUGUUCAUCCAAUCUCAAAUGCAUCAUAUUCACUGUUCAUUGAAUCUAACUUAUUUAGAGCCUUGUUUGGUAUUCGUUUUAUUAUUAUUCAAAAUACUUUUCUUAUAUCUAGGUAAUUCUUAAAUAUUAUUAUAUUUAUAAAACGUGAAAUCUUCAACGGAAAAAUGUAUUUACGACGUAAAUUACGUAUACAUUUUACAAGAAAUUAAUUAAUACAGUAUUAUAGUCGUACUUCUUAAAACCAUUUUCUUUUAAUAUUAAAAAUAUAUAUUAAUUUAUCUAGAAUAAUUUAAAUUUAAUCACUUUACAUGAACAGAGAAUAUCAAUGCUUAAGGUCUAAAAAUGUAUUAAAAGGUAAGUUUACAAGAUUCAAAUGUCAAUUAUAUCUUAAGGAUUCACUUAUUUGACUAUCAUGUAUACAUAUUAAUGAAAUAAAUAUUUUACAUCAUCAUCUAAAAUUGUUGCUUGCAUUUUAAGACACAACCCCUUGUCUUAUCACUUUAUCGAAAUCAAAUUUACUGGCACCCCUUUUAACUACAAAGGUUAUAGCAAUGCUCAUCAACAAUUAUAAAAAUACUUAAACGAAUAAACAUUAUUUUGGUAUACAAGACUAAAUUAAAAUUAAGGUUUAGCUUUGUAUUGAAUAUUUAUAUUAUGUUCAGCCUUGAGUAAAUUAUAAAAUUAUUUUAUGUACUGUUGUUAAAUUACUGUUUGUACGUUGUGACAAAAGUCAAGUUCAAUAAUAUAUUGUUAUUAAUUCUGGUUUUAAAUCAUACUACUUAAGUGCACCGAUGUGUCGUAUAUUCAUCAAAUGAAUGUAUAAUUGUAUUAUAAAUCACUUAUCAACCUAGGUCAUAUGCAUUCUAUUGUAACAUUUUAGCUUCAAACAUUUAAUCAUUUUUAAUUACAAAAUAAUUGCAAAUGUUCAU